rnacentral:tRNA from 1 species
UAGGGUGUAGCAUAAACUAAUGUAUUUCGCUUACACUGAAAUGAUACUUCCGACACGGAGUCGCCCUAA